GAUGAAGAACGCAGCGAAAUGCGAUAAGUAAUGCGAAUUGCAGAAUUCAGUGAGUCAUCGAAUCUUUGAACGCACAUUGCGCCCUUUGGUAUUCCGAAGGGCAUGCCUGUUCGAGCGUCAUUAUCACCCCUCAAGCCCUCGGCUUGGUGUUGGACGGUUUGGUGGAGGCCCCCUCGGGGGCUCCUGCCCCUCCCAAAGACAAUGACGGCGGCCUCGUUGGACCCCCGGUACACUGAGUUCUUCACGGGACACGUAUCGGACACAUGGGUUUACGGGACACGGUCUGCCUCCCCUCAGGGAGAAUCUUUCUAAGGUUGACCUCGGAUCAGGUAGGGAUACCCGCUGAACUUAAGCAUAUCAAUAAGCGGAGGA
rnacentral:misc_RNA from 1 species